CACAGUUCAGAAGUCACUGUGCAAAAUUAAAUGAUGAAAGAGUUGAAGUCUCAGGGGAUGAAUUCUCUUUUCCAUUCUCCCAGCUAACCACCACUAAAGAUGACAAAUCUAAAAAUCUCAAACCACUCUAAAGGGUACGUGUCAAUACUAAAGCUGUGGGAAGCAAGAGAGCCGGAGUCACCUCACAAGAGACGGAAAGGGUUUAAAUCCCGGAGAACCUGAGGAACCUGAGGGUCCUAACGCCUUGGUCUCCUAGUCCGGCCCGCUGACAGCAGGUUAAUGACCGCCGCGCGUCCACUCCCGGGGCCUCCCCGUCCCCGAUCCUCCAGAUGAGAUGCCCAGUAUGAGACAUGGAACUCUAUAAAGGAUCAGCCGUGGUAUAGCCAUGGAGGAGAAGACAGACAGCGGGAUUGAACCUAGGUUGGGAAGGUUCAAGAGAAGGACAAGGACCAGAGGAAGAGAGGCCAAGCUAAGGAAAGGAGGAGGUGAUAGGAAGAUGAGGCCAAGGACAUGGGGGACUUGGACAGGUAUGGAGAGAGAUUAACAAAAACUUACUAUACAUGCUUCCAUUAUUAAUAAUAUCUUACAUUUUAAAGUACACUGUCAUUUUCAAAGCAUUUUUAAAAAUAGACUUUAUUUUUAGAGCAGUUUUAGGUUCACAGCAACACUGAGAAGAAAGUAGAGUUCUCAGAUAACCCCUGCUGCCACACAUGCACAACCUCCCCUACCAGAGUGGUACUUCCGUUGUAAUGGAUGAACUUACAUUAACUCAUCAUUAUCAUUCAAAGUCUGUAGUUUGCAUUAGGGUUCAUUCUUGUUGUUACAUAGUCUAUGGGCUUGGACAAAUGUAUAGUAACAUGUUUUCACUAUAAUAGUAUCAUGCAGAAUAGUUCCACUGCCCUGAAAUCCUCUGAGCUCCACCUGUUCAUCAGUCCCUUCCUCCCAACUCCUGGCAACCACUGAUCCUUUUACUAUCUGCAUAGAUUUGCCUUUUCCAGAUUAUUAUAUAUUUGGAAUCAUACAGUAUUUAACCUUUUCAGAUUGGCUCCUUUUACUUAGUGAAUAUGCAUUAGCCACCCCCCCCCCAAUCUUUUCAUGGCUUAAUAGCUCAUUUUUUUAUAGCAUUAAACAAUUUUCUAUUGUAUGUAUGUACCACAGUUUAUCCAUUCACCUACUGAAGGACAUCUCGGUUGCUUCCGAGUUUUGGCAUUUAUGAAUAAAGCUGUUAUAAACUCCAUGUUCAGAUUUUUGUAUGGACAGUUCAUUUGAACCUUCAUAGUCUGAAUAUAGAACAAGCGUUCUAAAUUAAAUCCUAAGAUGUCAAGUAUAGCACACUAAAUCAAGGCAUUUAUCUAAAUAUGACUAGUAGAGUUUAUCUUUUGAA